rnacentral:misc_RNA from 1 species
GAAAUGCGAUAAGUAAUGUGAAUUGCAGAAUUCCGUGAAUCAUCGAAUCUUUGAACGCACAUUGCGCCCUCUGGCAUUCCGGGGGGCAUGCCUGUCCGAGCGUCAUUACGCACCCUCAAGCCCGGCUUGUGUGAUGGGCCCUGGCGUCUCGUUCGCGAGACGGGCCCGAAAGGCAGCGGCGGCGUCGACCCAAUGAGCCCGAGCGUAUGGGGACUUUUGUCACACGUUUGCGGUGCGGACCGGCGCCUGCUUGACUUUUCUGAUUAUCCAGGUUGACCUCGGAUCAGGUAGGGAUACCCGCUGAACUUAAGC